rnacentral:rRNA from 1 species
CGUUCCCGGGCCUUGUACACACCGCCCGUCACACCACGAGAGUUUGUAACACCCGAAGCCGGUGGGGUAACCUUUUGGAGCCAGCCGUCGAAGGUGGGAUAGAUGAUUGGGGUG